rnacentral:lncRNA from 10 species
GUGGAAGGAAGGCUUACUCAUUACUGUUUUGAAUGGCUUGAAUUUUGAAUUGCAUGAAUAUAUUAUUUAUUCAAAAAAGCUUAAGAGCACACAUUUGGAACUGCAGACUUGGACUGCCAUCCCAGCCCUGCCACAUCCAUCUUCCUCUGUAACGAUGACUGCUGGACGUCUUCCCAGCGCCCUGAGAGGAUGCAGAAGUUGCUUCUGUAGCACUUGGGGAGCUGGAGUUUUGUUGGUACUGCUGCCAUCUCCACCAGAUGAUGAAUGGGGAGAAACCUCUGGCUGGGAGAGGCCAAGGUCACUCAUUAAAACCUCACAGAAGGUAUGUAAAGGAGAGCCAAGCUGCCUGAAGAAACGAGGGUCCAUAGGUGAAGACAAUUAAAUAAACUCAUCAGACUAAAGUGCAACACGUGCUGGAGAGACAGCCAACCUUUGUAGAAGUGCAAAGCACUUGACCCAGGGGCUGGGGUCAGCGGGACGUCUGGGAGGAAGUAAGCUAGCUUCAGCUAGCACCUGACAGUGGAGAGUGGAAGGCAAGCGCCGGUGAAAAGGAGCUGUUGUGAAGGUGGGAUGUAAAUGGCUUAGCCAGGGCCCAACACAUUGUGUGUGCUCCAUCGGUUCCCAGUGUUCAGAGGAAGGAAUUCCCCCAGAUGCCUGAGUUCAGGGCUGCUAUCACCCUGAAUGGCCACAAGGGGGAGCUCGUGCCCUGUAAUUGUGUGUUUCAGCGCCUGUGCCGUGUGCCGCAAGGUACCAGUUGUUUCCACUAAAGAUCGGUUACUUGCAUCUUACAAAGUUGUUAGGAAGCGUCUCCCGGACAUUUGCAGCCCCUGCUAAGCGUAGUGUGUUCCAGAGCCUAAGUGGCUCUGAUAGCCUUGUCCUAGUGUUUUCUCGUAAAGCCGAGGAUUCUUUCCUCUAAAUUCUCGGGAAUAGAGCCAAUUACCCAAGUAGCCACCGAUCAUGUCCUUUUAAUCCUUCCUGGUUCUUCCCAUUCCUUCUGGGCAUCCACAGGGCCCAUCCCCUAGAGCAGCACCAAUGGGGUUGGAGCACUGGCUACUGACACGUCUGGACCCUCCAGGCCAGAAAGGCUUCAUUUCUCUGCACUUGCUAACCCCCAGCCAAGCCCCUAGUCCUUUCCAAGAUGGGAUAAAGGGGCAUUCUCCCUCAAAUGUCUUUCCUGAGUUAGGAAUGUGCUCUUGUCAUUUUGAACCCCAUGAUCUCUGCCCCAGUGGCUUCCAGAAAGGAUCUGAUGGCCACGUGCUUUGGAGUGAGACAGACCUUUUGUCCCGUCCUCACUCUGUUGUUGACCUUGUGUAAGCCACAUAACCUCCAUGGCUGUCAUCCAUGAAAUAUAAAGAUUAAAAGAUCUACCAUCUUACUUGAUGGGAUGGUUGAAAGGACCAGUGUCCCAGGAAAAAAAAAAAUACUCACAAACGACCUUAUUCCUUUCCUCCCCUCACCCAUGGAAGAUCUUUAAGUGCAUACUGAGGCUGACAUACAGGUAACUCCGAAAAGGAGAGGGAUCUGUUUCCUGACAGAUGGCUUCAAGCCAAAGAGAUAAACCUGGGUUCAGGCAGGGCUGGCAGGAAGUCAGGCACUCCCUUUCUAACUCUCUCCCUAGAGGAGUCUGGCUGAGGUUGAGAACUGACAAGGUCAGAAAAGGGACAGGGGAGGGAUUUCCAGUGGGGAAGCACAGACAUUGGAGGGCUUCUCCAGUCAUUUACUGGGUCACCAUCUGCCCCCUCAAGGAAGCAGGAUCAAGACCUCCCGUGUGCCCAGCUCCGUACAUGGCAGAUAGAGGGCAGCCUCCUGGGCCAAGAGUGACCAGGGCCUUCAUCUUCUUGGCAUGGGUUCCAUCAGGAACACGUUACAACCAACUGAUGAUUUAUCCACCUUUAGAAGGGGACUGAGGCCAUCCCAAAGGUGCCCUAUAUGAACUGCAGUUUGCCCCUCAGUAAAAAUUACUUCACUGAGUUGCAAGCAGUGCAUGGUGGCACACACCUGUAGUCUCGGCUACUAGGGAGGCUGAGGCGGGACGGUCACUUGAGCCCAGAAGAUCAAGUCCAGCAUGGGCAACAUGGUAAGAUCCCUUCUCAAAAAUAAAAAAUAAAUUAAAAUUUUUAAAAAAUGAAUAUUUUCAUUAUCAGACAGAUCAAGAAACAGAACAUCAAAGUUGUAGUGAGCUAUGAUAAUGCUACUGCACUGCAGCCUGGGUGACAGAGUGAGACCCUGUUUAGAAAGAGAGCGAG